rnacentral:rRNA from 1 species
AUUGAACGCUGGCGGCAGGCCUAACACAUGCAAGUCGAGCGGUAGCACAGGGAGCUUGCUCCUGGGUGACGAGCGGCGGACGGGUGAGUAAUGUCUGGGAAACUGCCUGAUGGAGGGGGAUAACUACUGGAAACGGUAGCUAAUACCGCAUAAUGUCGCAAGACCAAAGAGGGGGACCUUCGGGCCUCUUGCCAUCAGAUGUGCCCAGGUGGGAUUAGCUAGUAGGUGGGGUAACGGCUCACCUAGGCGACGAUCCCUAGCUGGUCUGAGAGGAUGACCAGCCACACUGGAACUGAGACACGGUCCAGACUCCUACGGGAGGCAGCAGUGGGGAAUAUUGCACAAUGGGCGCAAGCCUGAUGCAGCCAUGCCGCGUGUAUGAAGAAGGCCUUCGGGUUGUAAAGUACUUUCAGCGGGGAGGAAGGUGUUGAGGUUAAUAACCUCAGCAAUUGACGUUACCCGCAGAAGAAGCACCGGCUAACUCCGUGCCAGCCGCCGCAGUAAUAC